rnacentral:rRNA from 1 species
AUUGAACGCUGGCGGCAUGCUUUACACAUGCAAGUCGAACGGUAACAGGCCGCGAGGUGCUGACGAGUGGCGAACGGGUGAGUAAUGCAUCGGAACGUGCCCAGUCGUGGGGGAUAACUACUCGAAAGAGUAGCUAAUACCGCAUACGAUCUAUGGAUGAAAGCGGGGGACCGUAAGGCCUCGCGCGAUUGGAGCGGCCGAUGUCAGAUUAGGUAGUUGGUGGGGUAAAGGCUCACCAAGCCAACGAUCUGUAGCUGGUCUGAGAGGACAACCAGCCACACUGGGACUGAGACACGGCCCAGACUCCUACGGGAGGCAGCAGUGGGGUAUUUUGGACAAUGGGCGCAAGCCUGAUCCAGCAAUGCCGCGUGCAGGAAGAAGGCCUUCGGGUUGUAAACUGCUUUUGUACGGAACGAAACGGCUCUGGUUAAUACCCGGGGCUAAUGACGGUACCGUAAGAAUAAGCACCGGCUAACUACGUG